AACUUUUUUUCCUUCUAUUACCCCGGCUUAGAUGUGGGUUAUAAGGUACUUGAAAAUUCUUCGGAGGCUGGUGGAGAUUUCGUGAUGCUCGUGCUCGCUUUCUUGGGUGAUUUGAUGGCUGGACAACAUAUUGGGAUGGAUCAACAGAGUAUGGUGGGUUCUGAGGUGGAUACUAAUGCUUGGGGGGCUCAUGGAAAACCUGAUGAGGCUGCACAUACCUUUGAGGUGUUCUUCUAGGACCUCUUCUCGACCCUAAUAUCAUCAUAAUUUCUUCAUCCCUCUCUUUCGCGUCACCAUAUUCAAUUUGGACAGCCUGAGCUGCAGCUUUGAGUGCUGCUUGACUUACAAUUCUGCAUGUCUUAAGACCGUUCUCUACCAUUUCUCCCAUUCUGAUUGCUUCUAAGAAGGAUUUACCAACUGCGGACAUCAUGUUUUGAAAUUAAUCCGGCUCUUGAACAUGAAGGAAGACAAUGAUUAACUUGUGGUCAUCCAUGGGUGGCUUAGCUCGAGCUGCUUGUUCACUCCAUUUAAUGGCAGGGAAAUGCGGUAUGGGCAAUGUCGAUGUUGUACUGGAACUGUUUGACAAAUGCUUGUGCCAUAUUAUUCCAGACAUACCGGUGAGAUGUGUCUUGAUCCAAAAACCAUUCAGAUGCUACUCCCGUGAGACUUUCCCCAAUAUAAGCUAUCAGUAAUUCUUCAUUUCUUCUCACACCUCUUAGUUGAUUGCAAUACCUUUUUAGGUAGGUUAUGGGGUCUCCAUGUCCUUUUUAGGUAGGUUAUGGGGUCUCCAUGCCCAUUGUAUUUUUCAAAUUUUGGAAUAUUGAAACCAUGCGACACAUGGACACCGGGGAACAUACAU
rnacentral:lncRNA from 1 species